GAAGAGCCGCUCAAUUGUACUUUCUAGCCAUCAUAGAUAAUAAAGAUUAUCUACGCUAGCCAUAAAUCGAUAGGUUCAAGGUUUUUAGAUUAUAGAAGUAAUAGGAAACAUAGAUUUCUAUACAGUACUAGAUAGAGAACUCUCGCCAUGAAUUUUAAGCUUCAACGUCGGUUGGAAAUUGUAUGGUAUUUCAUAUGACAAAUAAGAUGGUAUUAUGAUUUAUUUUGUAUCGUAUUUUGUAUUAUAUUUUAUUUUAUUUAUAUCUUAAACCGUGGUUAUAGGCCGAUUUUUAACCUGUAUAUCUUAAAUAGCGCUCGAUGGUGGUAUCUUCACUUUUUAUGAUAACAAAAAUUAUCGCAUAUUUCGCAGAUAAUUUUUAUUGUUUAUACGCUUGGAUAGCAAUGACGUCACGCGUGUUAUCACUCAUAUCAGUAUUUCUGUUUUGGAUCCAAACAAAUCACUUUAACCAUAUAAAAUAAUACACUUUUUGUUUGAUGUUUAAUAAAGUUUUUUUAAAAGCCAAUGCUUACUUUUAAGCUACAAUAUAGAAGAACUGAUGAACCAAAAUCAGGCGCUAGGGUUUGUAGUUGUCAUUUUGAAAAUAACAAAAAAGAAAAUGAACCUACAAUUUUGCCUCAUCGUUCUUCAACAAUUUACCUUAAAUCAUUUGACUCCAGAAAAGAAAACGAGAAAAAAUUAUCUAAAUAAAUAAUUCAAAUGGAUGUCAUACCAGUUAAAUAUGAUGAUGAACUAUAGUUGUUAAUGAGUUAAUUACAAAUGAAAGUCCAUUAGAUUUGUCUACUCCUUCAAAAUCAAUUAUUUGUAAUUUUAGCACAGACUCAGUUAAAUCUUCAAACAUAGCUUCAAUUAUUCAUGAAUCUGAGAACUAUUUUCUCAAGGAGGAAAACAAAGCCAUGAAAUUAAACUUAAAACAAUUGAGUCUUUCAUUUAACUAUGAAAACUUAAGUCAAAAUAAUGAAUUAUUACAGUCUUAUACAGGUUUGCCUACAAAUGAAAUUUUUAUAGCUCUUUAUAAUUUAUUAAAAAAUUCAAAACUCUAUUACCACUUUGGUUGGAAAGUUGAGUGUACAAGUAAACCAGACCAACUUCUUAUAACUCUAAUGAAAUUAAGAUAUAACUCCCACAUUUUGAUUUGGCUACAAAAUUUAAGUGCAGUAGGAGUACAAUUACUAAUAUUAGUAUCACUUGGAUUAACAUUUUACAUAAUGUACUUUUCUUAAAGUGUAUGAAUAAAAUACCUUCUAGACAAAAAAAUCAAACUUGUUCACCUGAUUCUUUCAAGCCUUUUAUGAAUUGUCAAAUUGUAAUUGACUGCACAGAAAUUUUCACAUCAGUAUCUCAACAAUCUAUGAAUAUUCAAAGAGAUACAUAUAGCAGUUAUAAGCAUAGAAACACAUGAAAAGUUCUUUUAGGAAUCGUACCUAAUGGUGUAGUUACUUUUGUAAGUAGCUUAUUUCCUGGUUCUACAUCUGACAAAGUGAUUACAUUGAAAAUUGGACUCUUAGAGCAGUUAGUACAGGGAGACCUAAUUUUAGCUGACAAAGGUUUUCUAAUCAGAGACAUUUUACCACCUGGUGUAUCUUUAAAUAUACCACCUCAUUUUACACCUGAAUAAGUAUUACAAACUGAAGUCAUAGCUAAGGCAAGAUUUCAUAUUGAAAGGGCCAUACAAAGAAUAAAAUGUUUUGCAAUUUUAAAUUUUAUUCCCUCUACAAUGUUAAGACUAGGACAGCAAAUUUUUGAAGUUGUUGCUGCACUAACAAAUCUUCAACAUCCACUUAUUCAUGAAGUUGAAAACUAAAUGGUAAAUCCAAGUUAGUUCUAGUCUCGAACCGCCUGUUCAAAAUAUUUUAUUUCAUAAUAAAAAAAUAUUAUUAAUUGACAUUUUGUAACUUCAUUUUUAUAUAUUAUAUUUUAAUGUAACUGUAAAUACUAAAUUCUCUUGUAAAUAUAUAACUUUGAGUACAAUUAAUUAAUACGUUAAAAAAUUAUGUGCUACAUUGUUCUUCAAUAAGAAAAGGAAUGUGAGUCUCAAUGAAAAAAUUGUCUAAUAUUUUAAGAUUUGGAAACCAUUCUGGAUCCUUUUCUACUUGGGUUAUUAUUGAUUGACCUGGUGUCAAAAUUACUAGGUAACAUAACUUUCGUUUGGUUAUAUAUAGUUGCCCUUGGAUUUGAUCCCAAUAAAAGUGUUUUUUGUUAAUGUAAAUAAUUUUGUUUUUUAUGUAUACCAUGUAGAUUAAGUUUUUGGCAAGCUCAAUAUCUAAACUUUUAUUCCAGUACUUCCAUGGACAUUUUAUCUCCACAAUGUACUCAGAAUUUACAACGCAAUCGGGAGAUGCUCUCUAAAACUCCAUUAUUUAAUAACCAAAACCCAGUAGGUACAACAUUAGCAUUUUGUUCUUGUUCUACUAUUCUACUACUUUUCCACGAGGACAUGUACACUCAGCGUCAACAAUACAACAGUCAUUCAACAUUAUUUUUACUUUGUACUUAUCAGUUCAGUGGUGUACACAGCUAGUAGUCAACUUGAGUUGUACUGUUUAUAUGUAUUAUGGAAUCAAAGAUAUUAAAGCAGAAAGGAGGCUCAUGUUGUGCUAUUGCUACUUGCAUAAAUAACUACUACAAAUCAAAAAAAUAUGGAAGAUCCAACAUAUAAUUUCACAGAUUUCCAAAAGAUCUUAACUAUCGGAAAGAAUGGGUUUCAGAAAUUCAAAAUAGGUGACCGUUUUAAACCUGAUACAUUAUUUAUUUCAUCUGAUCACUUUAAUGUUGUAUGAGACUUAAAAGCAGACCUUAUAGGUA